rnacentral:rRNA from 1 species
GAGAAACGCUGGCGGCGCACAUAAGACAUGCAAGUCGAACGGAGUUUAGUUGAAUGUUUACAUGAGACGAAGACUUAGUGGCGAACGGUGAGUAACGCGUGAGAAACCUGCCUCUCAGUGGGGGACAACAGUUGGAAACGACUGCUAAUACCGCAUAACACUUUAGUACCGCAUGGUACAGAAGUCAAAGCUUAAUGUGCUGAGAGAUGGUCUCGCGUCUGAUUAGCUAGAUGGCGGGGUAACGGCCCACCAUGGCGACGAUCAGUAGCCGGUCUGAGAGGAUGAACGGCCACAUUGGGACUGAGAUACGGCCCAGACUCCUACGGGAGGCAGCAGUGGGGAAUAUUGGGCAAUGGGGGAAACCCUGACCCAGCAACGCCGCGUGAAGGAAGAAGGCCUUCGGGUUGUAAACUUCUUUUAGCAGGGACGAAGGACGUGACGGUACCUGCAGAAAAAGCAACGGCUAACUACGUG